UACGGAGGGUGCGAGCGUUAUCCGGAAUCACUGGGUUUAAAGGGUGCGUAGGCGGGAGAUUAAGUCAGUGGUGAAAGCCUGUCGCUUAACGAUAGAAUUGCCAUUGAUACUGAUUUUCUUGAAUUGGGUUGAGGUUAGCGGAAUGUGACAUGUAGCGGUGAAAUGCAUAGAUAUGUCAUGGAACACCAAUUGCGAAGGCAGCUAACUGGGCCUUGAUUGACGCUGAGGCACGAAAGCGUGGGUAGCGAAC
rnacentral:rRNA from 1 species